CCCUUAGAUGUUCUGGGCAGCACGCGCGCUACAAUGGUCUUCGCAAACGGAUGCAUUCUCGAAGGAGAAUGCCAAUCUUGGAAUCUAUGCCUUGGUCGGGACAGUUGCUUGCAAUUUUCCGACUCGAACCAGGAAUUCCUUGUAAUCGUGAUUCAUCACAUCACGAUGAAUACGUCCCUGCCCUUUGUACACACCGCCCGUCGCUCCUACCGAUCGAAGAGUUAGGUGAAUUGUUUUGAUCGAUAAGAUUUGACUAUGGUCAACUCUCGUUGUGAAAUUCUGUGAAUCUGACUGUUUAGAGGAAGGAAAAGUCGUAACA
rnacentral:rRNA from 1 species